CGAAUCAUUCACAAUGGGCGAAAGCCUGAUGGUGCGACGCCGCGUGGGGGACGAAGGUCUUCGGAUUGUAAACCCCUGUCACCGGGGACAAAAUGCAGAUGAUUAAUACUCAUCUGCUUGAUUUAACCCGGAGCGGAAGCAGUGGCUAACUCUGUGCCAGCAGCCGCGGUAAUACAGAGACUGCAAGCGUUGUUCGGAUUUACUGGGCGUAAAGGGUGCGCAGGCGGCCGAGUGUGUCGGGUGUGAAAUUUCGAGGCUCAACCUCGAGACUGCGCCCGAAACUAUUCGGCUAGAGUACUGGAGAGGGAAGCGGAAUUCACGGUGUUGCAGUGAAAUGCGUAGAUAUCGUGAGGAACACCAAUGGCGAAGGCAGCUUCCUGGACAGUUACUGACGCUCAGGCACGAAAGCGUGGGGAGCAAAA
rnacentral:rRNA from 1 species